rnacentral:rRNA from 1 species
UACGUAGGGUGCGAGCGUUAAUCGGAAUUACUGGGCGUAAAGCGUGCGCAGGCGGUUUGUUAAGACAGAUGUGAAAUCCCCGGGCUUAACCUGGGAACUGCAUUUGUGACUGGCAAGCUAGAGUAUGGCAGAGGGGGGUAGAAUUCCACGUGUAGCAGUGAAAUGCGUAGAGAUGCGGAGGAACACCGAUGGCGAAGGCAGCCCCCUGGGCUAGCACUGACGCUCAGGCACGAAAGCGUGGGGAGCAAACAGG